UUACUAAUAGACUCCAUUUUCUUAGCAGUGUUCUUUUCUUUAGAAUAUUCAUGGGCUGAGAAUUCAUCUUUUGAACCUUGCAAGGCCUGAAUCGAAUCCCUAAACUCCACACUGUUCUGUAUAUUCCAAUAUCAUACACUGAUGUUUCAGGAUUCUAUAAGAACAUCCCGUGUCAAAAACACCCACAACAUCAGACUUCACACAUCCUCCGGUAUCGCUGGAAACCUCACAAACACACACAAAAAAACCCUAGAAUUCAAUACAAACCCAGCUCCUAGUAACCAGGUUAUAUCCCAAAGAAUUAGGAAGCCAAUCACGUUAAUCAACAGCCUCAUCCUAAACGCCACCAUGGCCACCCAAGCAUACUGAAGCAGCUGCAGCAUCCACCAUGGCCACCCAAGCAUGCUGAAGCAGCUGCAGCAUCCACCACGGCCAGCAAUGCCCUCGUCAAGACUUCCAACUGUCGAAACAAGUUGGAAGCCCAUUUCCCUUUACUAGGUUAUUGAGAUUGAAGCUUUGGAUCACUCUCAAGAUGUAAGCCCAUUUCCCAUUUCAAUUCGUUGUUUAAUGAAAUGUUCAAUGGACCUUGAAUUUUCUCGUUAAAUCUCCAUCUUAUGUAACUAUAUGUAGGCUGCCAGCUACCUAGUUUUUGUUUCUCA
rnacentral:lncRNA from 1 species